CGCUCGACAUCAGAGUUUGAUCCUGGCUCAGGACGAACGCUGGCGGCGUGCUUAACACAUGCAAGUUGAACGGGGAAUUUUACUUCGGUUUAAUUCCUAGUAGCGAACGGGUGAGUAACGCGUAAAGAACUUGCCUCUUAGACCGGGACAACAUCUGGAAACGGAUGCUAAUACCGGAUAUUAUGGUUUUUUCGCAUGGAGGAAUCAUGAAAGCUAGAUGCGCUAAGAGAGAGCUUUGCGUCCCAUUAGCUAGUUGGUGAGGUAACGGCCCACCAAGGCAACGAUGGGUAGCCGGCCUGAGAGGGUGAACGGCCACAAGGGGACUGAGACACGGCCCUU
rnacentral:rRNA from 1 species